GGAAAUGGGGGCUGGGGUGAGCGCAGCAAGAUGGAGUGUGAAUCACUCGCAAACUGAACUUGUCGGGAACGGAGGAGGAGGAGGAGGAGAGGAGGAAGAGAGGCAGCCAGUCUGGGACCUGGCAUCAUUGGCGGAGUUGUGCAAAUGUAGCAUUCUUUUAAAAAAAAAAUUGUUCUGGGGUUUGUGCAAUUAAUGCUUUGCAUAAAGUCUCCAAGAAAAAAUAGUUGAAAAACAAAAGCCAAGCCUCACACGUCAUUCUCCCCUGCCUUCUCUGUGACCUUAUUGGCCCAAAAUGGGGCAUAGAGAGCACACAGUAUGGAUGGAUCCUGCUGGGAAGACACGUCAUUCCACAGCCUAUGUAACAAACGGCUUCAACCCUUUCUUUAUGUUUUCAACGCGAUCCUGCAAAGCUGAAGCAUUUUACACCGCCCCAACUGCUGUAGAGCAUGUAAUCUGAGCAAAGAACGGUGUUCUCCCCUUGUGUGAGGUGAUUAUGAUAACAACACUGCUCAACCUCCCUGCAGCCUUCUGAGAUGUCUGAGAGGAUUGACUGAGUUGUGUGGAUUUGCUUUGCACUGAUUACUGAAAAUGAUUGAAGAAGGAUUUGUAGAAGGAAAUUCAGGAAAUCUGCCAUUUGUAGAGUCAUGAAUGAUUGCAAAUUUCUUUGCUGGCAAUGAAGAUUAUGUUGGAGUGGAGGGGAGUGAAAAGCACAAGAUUCAUUAUCCACGGUUUCGUGUAUCCGUGGUCAGGAAAAUGACACUCGACUUCGGCAACACAGAAAAAAGGGAGAAAACACGCUGACCUUGCAUAUCCACGUGUCGAGGGUGGCCAGAAAUGACCGCAGAGAUAAUUUCUGGCUGCCAUUUUAGGGAUGGGAGCCACAAAAUGGGGUGGCUCAUCCAUUUUAAAAUGGUUAAAAUGGAUUAAAUCCAUUUAAAUCUAUUUUAAAAUGGUUAAACCAUAAAAUAGCUCAGCCACAAAAUGGGGUGGCCAUUCCUAAAGUUGGUCUUGUGAAAGAAAGUAAAAAUUGUGUAAGCACGAAUGAAGGGAGCCCUGAUGGGACAAAUGAAAGGAGAAAAGGUUUUAUGCCAUUUUGUACAAGUUACAUAUUUUCCCAAUGUGUGGGUAAAAUACUAAUGUUAAUAUAGCUUUGAAUGAUAUGAUAGUUCUACAAAUCUCCUGUAAAAUAAUGUAAACAAAAACAACUUUGUAUUUGUAAAAAGAAAAAGAAAAAGCUUUGCAUUUGUAAAGACAACCUGUUCUUUAGCUGUGAUCUUGCUUCUUUCAAUGUAUGUAACUGACAUGUUUAUGAUGAUAAAUCAUUUUUAUCAAAUCAUCAAAUCAAAUCAAAUCAUCAAAUCAUUUUUAUGAUAAAAUGUAUUUAAAUGGAUCUAAAUGGAUUUAAUGAUUUAAAAUGGCCCAGCCAUUUUACGGAUGGGAGCCAUAAAAACAAAAGAAAAACAAAACAUGAUUUUUGGUUGAUUUUCUGCCAUUUGGGAGGCACAUUGCGACUUGGAGGAAUCAGCAGAGCAAGGGAAGAAGCCCCCCCCCCCAAAAUACUGGCCUAUUUUCAGCCAUUUUCGGGGCCAUUUGGGGGGCCAUUUUCAGCCACUUUGGAACCUAGCCCCCACGAUCCCAUAGGGAUCAAUGAUCCUAUAUUUGUGGUUUCUAAAUCCAUGAUAAAGCCGUGGAACGGAACCCCCAUGAAUAUUGAGGUCUACCUGUAUAUAGUACUCAUUGAAUAGCACCACCUAGUGGUUGGAGUUGUUUAAUAUAAUUAUUAGAAUAUAAAAUUAGCAUUUGAUCAUAUAUAUUAUCCCCCAAGUCUCCAAAUUAC